GCGAGCGAGAGAGGGCAUAGAGUGGAGAGAGGCGAACUGUAUAUGUAUAUCUGUCAGAUAAUUGUAUAUAUAUAACUGGUAUACAUAUGUAUUUGUAUAUUUGGCGAGGGAGAUUGGGAGAGGGAGGAGAGAGACGAGCAAAAUAUUUCUUUAAUAAAAAGAAUGCACAAAUCCUUAACAUAUAUCAGAAAAAGGCAAUAAAGUAAAAUCCUAACAAAGUAAAAUUCUUAAAAAAUAAAGAAC
rnacentral:lncRNA from 1 species